rnacentral:rRNA from 1 species
AUUCCAGCUCCAAUAGCGUAUAUUAAAGUUGUUGCAGUUAAAAAGCUCGUAGUUGAACUUCUGGCUAUUCUUCCAGCUGGCUUCGGUCGCUGUAAGAGUGGUCAUCCGCUUGGGAACUACGUUCGAACUUCACUGUUCGGCGUAAGGAACAGGCAUUUUACUUAGAAAAAAUUAGAGUGUUCAAGGCAGGCUAUCGCCCUGAAUACACAAGCUUGGAAUAAUGAAAUAGGACUAUUUCCAUUUUAUUGGUUAUUGGAAUUAGUAAUGAUUAAUAGGGACAGUUGGGGACAUUAGUAUUUAAUUGUCGGAGGUGAAAUUCUUGGAUUUUGGAAAGAUGAACUACUGCGAAGGCAUUUACCAAGGAUGUUUUCAUCG